UACGUAGGGUGCAAGCGUCGUCCGGAAUUAUUGGGCGUAAAGAGCUCGUAGGCGGUUUGUCGCGUCUGCUGUGAAAACCUAAGGCUCAACCUUGGGCUUGCAGUCGAUACGGGCAGGCUAGAGUUCGGUAGGGGAGAUCGGAAUUCCUGGUGUAGCGGUGAAAUGCGCAGAUAUCAGGAGGAACACCGGUGGCGAAGGCGGCUGCCUGGACCGAUAUUGACGCUGAGACGCGAAAGCGUGGGUAGCAAACAGG
rnacentral:rRNA from 1 species